AUACGGAGGGUCCGAGCGUUAUCCGGAAUCAUUGGGUUUAAAGGGUCCGUAGGCGGGAAUCUAAGUCAGUGGUGAAAUCUUGCAGCUCAACUGUAAAAUUGCCAUUGAUACUGGAUUUCUUGAAUUAGAGUGAAGUGGUUAGAAUGUGUAGUGUAGCGGUGAAAUGCAUAGAUAUUACACAGAAUACCAAUUGCGAAGGCAGAUCACUAACACUAUAUUGACGCUGAGGGACGAAAGCGUGGGGAGCGAACAGGAUUAGAAACCCGAGUAGUCC
rnacentral:rRNA from 1 species